GGAGUCCGACGUCCCGUAGCCUACCUUGGUGGAGCAAUUGGGGAUUGAACUCGUGUGGAGAUACGCUCAGAGUGCUGGUGAAACUUUUAGGACUUUAAUAUCCAUGACAUUUAUCAGUGGCUGACACUCAUACUGCGCUUUCCUCUCUACCUACUUCCAGCACUUCCUCUUUCAAAGGGGCUCUGCAGAAAGGAUUCCAGGAAUCUUGCCAUGUUCAAGGCAGUGCUGAAGAAGAACAGAGAUGGAGGCAAGGGGAGCAAGAAGGAUUCAGAUGAAUGUCUUGCCAUCCUUAGCUCAGGAGGGUUUGCAGCAGCCUGAACUAAUGACCUUGGUUCCUUUGUGCCCACCCUCAAAGGAACAGAGGAUAACUGCUUCAAGAAAUGCAACCAGCUGGAGCACCAGUGAAAUAGAUUGGUAGCGUCCUUCUGCAUUCUGUCUGUCUAAUUAGAAAACUGCAAGUGGUUGUGUUGUUGUUCUUGGCAACACAAUAUGUUUCACAUUGCAGGAUUUAGGUUUGACUUAAAUACCCUUUUAUUUUCUAUGUGCUACCAGAGGUCCUCAAAGAUUCUCUGUACGUUCUUUUUAACUCAAAAACACUUCUGCGCCCCCCCCCCCCAAAAAAAAAAAAACACACACACACACACACACAGAAUCACUUUGCAGAAUCACACCAUCAUUAAUCUGUCAGAUGCAU
ensembl:lncRNA